rnacentral:rRNA from 1 species
AUACGUAGGUGACAAGCGUUAUCCGGAUUUACUGGGCGUAAAGGGCGUGUAGGCGGUCUUGCAAGUCAGAAGUGAAAUUCCUGAGCUCAACUCGGGCGCUGCUUCUGAAACUGCAGGACUUGAGUGCUGGAGGGGAUAGCGGAAUUCCUAGUGGAGCGGUAAAAUGCGCAGAUAUUAGGAAGAACACCGGUGGCGAAGGCGGCUAUCUGGACAGUAACUGACGCUGAGGCGCGAAAGCGUGGGGAGCGAACAGGAUUAGAUACCCUGGUAGUCCACGCUGUAAACGAUGAUUACUAGGUGUAGGGGGUAUCGACUCCCUCUGUGCCGCAGUUAACGCAGUAAGUAAUCCACCUGGGGAGUACGGUCGCAAGAUUAAAACUCAAAGGAAUUGACGGGG